rnacentral:lncRNA from 10 species
UUUUAGUAGAGACAGGGUUUCACCAUGUUAUCCAGGAUGGUCUCAGUCUCCUGACCUUGUGAUCCACACACCUCGGCCUCCCAAAGUGCUGGGAUUACAGGCGUGAGCCACCGCACCUGGCUCAAUGUUGUACAACUUUAUCUGAGAUCCAUACAGAGUGACUUUGACCAAACUCUCCACAACUGUGAGGGCAUCAUUGAACCAUGCAGCAAACACAUCCCCAAUAAAGUACCCGGCCAGGUGGCCCAUGGCCUGCAGCAGGGAGCUCAAGUCUCUCAGGGAGCAGUGCAGCCACCAGCAGUCGUUCUCUGCCAUGAUGUUCAACCUGUGUCCUGACCCUGAUGUAACUAUAACUUGCUGUAAUCCCAAAUAAACUUCUAAAUUGCCCUGAAGAACUGGGAACAGUGUGGACAACGUGUGCGUGGGCAGGAGCUCCAUCACUUUGACCGCCACCUCCAAGCUCUGCCGUAAGUACCGCUGUCACUCCAUCUGCUGAUCGUCAUCCAGAGUCUCGUCAUCCAACUCCUCCAGCUGGCCUGGUUGUAUCUGAACUGGAUUUGAUUCAACACCUCUGUGGGGAGGAGCACCAGGGCAUCUUCGUACCUGUUGAGAACUGCUUCCUUGUCUUCAAGAUGACUUUUAAUUUUAUUUGUCAGAUAGUCCAAAAAGAGUGUCCAGUAUCCAAACAAGAGAAUUAACCUUCAUGAGUAGGCUGAUGAAAUGUGUACUUGAACAAAAGUGUCAAAAACUCCACCACAGAGAACUGGGAGUAAGACUCGAUUCUUCUUAGGUGAACACUCACAAAGAGCCAAAGAAAGUCAGUAAACUUCUCAAUAAAGCUCUCAUCGAGCUCUUCUAGCCUGCUCUUCACUGUGUGGGCAUUGUUAUCCUUGGUGAUCUUCUGCAGGAGGUAGAAAGUCUGCUGGAACAUAAGCAGUAAAUACUCCUCGAACUCCAUCGGCACACAGCUCUUGGAAAUGAGUUCACUGAUGCAGGGCAUGGCCAGGACCCCCGGCCGGCUCCGCUCCUGAACCGAGACACAGUUCUGGCUGCUGCCGUUAACUGACGCCAUCUUUCUGGCACGGAUGUCACAGCCAAAUCACGCAAAGUGGAAGGUGGUGGUAAGGAGGGAUGGGGUGAUGCCGGCAGACAGAGGAAUACAACUGAAGAGAUGGGCUAGGCACUCCAAGGCAAGGGAACAGAUAUACUCACUCACCACAUCAAGGAUGGGAAUUGGCUGAUUCAACAGUUUGGCUGAACUAGGACUCUGCCACAGGUUACUCACUGUGCUUCAUUUCUGUUCCAAUUUUAA